GACAGAGGCCUCGAGCGUUGUUCGGAUUCAUUGGGCGUAAAGGGCGCGUAGGCGGCGGGGUCAGUCGGGUGUGAAAUCUUGGGGCUUAACCCCGAAACGGCACUCGAAACUGCCCGGCUGGAGGGCCGGAGAGGAGAUCGGAAUUCACGGUGUAGCAGUGAAAUGCGUAGAGAUCGUGAGGAAGACCCGUGGCGAAGGCGGAUCUCUGGACGGCUAACUGACGCUGAGGCGCGAAGGCCAGGGGAGCAAACGGG
rnacentral:rRNA from 1 species